UACGGGGGGGGCAAGCGUUGUUCGGAAUUACUGGGCGUAAAGGGCUCGUAGGCGGCCAACUAAGUCAGACGUGAAAUCCCCAGGCUCAACCUGGGAACUGCGUCUGAUACUGGAUGGCUUGAGUACAGACGAGGUUGGCGGAAUUGAUUGUGUAGCGGUGAAAUGCAUAGAUACAAUCAAGAACUCCGAUUGCGUAGGCAGCUAACUAGGCUGUAACUGACGCUGAGGCACGAAAGCGUGGGGAGCGAACAGG
rnacentral:rRNA from 1 species